rnacentral:lncRNA from 1 species
GUUCUCCUGCUUGAUUCUGUUCCUUUGCUAGGACUGCUGUAACAGGAUACCACAGACCAGGUGGCUUGACAGAAGGGCAUUUUCUUACAGUUCCUGAGGCUGGAAGUCCAAGGUGAUGUCAGCAUGUUUGAUUUCUCUCUCCUGGGCUUGCAGAUGCCGCCUCUCCCUGUGUCCCCACAAGGUUGUUCCUCUACCUGUCUUGAGCGUGCUAAUCUCCUCAUCAGGACACCAGUCACAGUGGAACACGGCCCACCCUGCUGACCCCCUUUUGCCUGCGGGACUGCUUCGAAAGCUCUGUCUUCAGUCCCAUUCUGACAUCUGGGGAUUAGGACUUCCACUUACAGAUUUUGAGGACACGCGGCUCGAUCAGAGCAUUGCUACAGUAGAAAUAAGGAUUUCUGGGUAUCUUCAGUCAUCCAGAUAUCAAGUGGCGCCCUUUCUCUGCUCACCCGCUUGGAGCUGUCGCCUAAAUCCGCCAAAGAGAAACCAAACCUGGAACACCAAACCCUUAAUCCCAGAGGAGUGCGGAGUACCCGCAAGGACAGCUUCACAGGGCGCCGCAAGGCCGUGGCUUCCGCCGUCCAGCCACAGAAACUGACUGGCACUCGUACUGCUCUAAGGAGGGCACGCUGUCCUGUGUCUGUCUCUCCUGGCACCAUUUGUUGCAAGACUGUCGCGCGCUACUUUGCCUGGCUGACCCGUGUCGGAAUCCAGCUCAGGGGUCACCUCCUCCGUGAGGCCGUCCUCGAUGGGCUUUUCAUUCUGGGUUGGGCACCUUCAGUACAAACAGCCCUGGUGUGAAGCUAUAGUAUAAAAUUUUUAAUGUUUUAUUACAGAGAACUUCCAACAUAAAAUAGAAUAAGUGAUCUAGUAACCCCUCACAACGCUGAGCUUAUUGAACUAUAUUUGUACACUUACUCACUAGUUCACUCACAGUAGUGACUCCAGGAGGGGAGGGUCUAUACUUUGUUUGUUUGUGCGAGGUCUUGCUACGUAGCCCAGGCUGGUCUUGAACUCACAGUGAUGCUCCUGCCCCAGCCUUCCAGAGUGCUGGGAUUACAAGUGUGAGAAACCAUGCCCGGUAAGGACCUGUAUUUUACAAUAUUUUGUUCCCAUUCCCUGUGCCUGACACAUAGUGAAUGUUUCAAAAUGUUUUAAACAAAGUGUUACAGUAAAAGACAUGGUGCCAUGAAUUCCCUGCAAAAUGCUGUCAGUGGCCAAGCGUGGUGGCGCACGCCUAUAAUUCCAGCCUUUAAAAGGCUGAGGCAGGAAGAUCGUUGUAAGUUCGAGACCAAUCUGGGCUACAAAGUGAGCUCAAGGCCAGCCUGAACUGCAUAGGGAGACCCUGUGUCAAAAAGACAAAAAAAAAAAGAUGCUGUCAGAAACUGAAUAAAAGAAAAGACAAACUGUAAUAAGGAAAGGGAAAUGAACAAAGGAAAAAAUAUAUGUAUACACACAAGAUAGUUAAGAUAGUUAUACAGCUAACUUCUCUUAGUUUAUUGAAAAGAAAGCUUUGUGCUAAUAUGGUAUGGACAAGAUGUCACACCUAUAUCUUCUACUCUAAAUAACUACUAUGAAGACAACAAUACACAAUGUAUCAACUAUUGUAACUGUGCUACUAACCUGUUUUGAAACUCGGUUUCAUUGUUAUGUUUAUCUUCUCUCUCUCUCUCUCUCUCUCUCUCUUAAAUAAAAAAAGGUGCUGUCCCUGGCUUUGAACACACUUAUCCUGUCUUUCUUGCCACUUUCUGAAGCAGUUCUGGAAGUCCUAUUUCAGGUCUUUCAUCACACUGUCAUGGCUGCCUUCAGGUCCUGAACAGUUUAAAACAUUGACCUUUCAUGGUCAUUCUGCCCGUAGGGAAGAUCCUGAGGUUGCAUGAUGGAUAAGGUGAUGAGCCUGCCCUUCUGCUAGAUGCACCCAGCAGCAGCGUUCAUAGUUUUGAUCACCCCUCAUAAAGACACCCACUAAAAAGGACUUCCAGAACUUUUUCAGAAAGUAGCAAGAACCACGGGAGAAAUGUGUUCAAAGUGAGAGGGGGCGUUUUGGCAAUGUGUCUCUUACUGUAAUAAACCUUACAGUGAAAUAGUGCCCACAGAUUUUGAACACCCUUUGUAGAUGCUCAAUAAAGGAAGGUUUGAGGCACUAAUGGAAGUAGACUGGGAGCCAUUCCUCCGUUCAUUCUCUCCUCCUUCUUUUCUUUUUGAGGGUCUCCUCUGGUCCUCAGUCUCUGAGAGGCGAGGAGAGGCAGCCACAGGCACUCCCAGGAUGCCGAGGGCUAAAGGGAGCUCACCACAAUGCCCUCCUGCACCCCCCGUUCAGGAUGCUGGAGACUUAGGUUUAGGACAGCAUAUCCAUGUCACCAAGUUUAGCUUGCUGGCUUGUCUUCGUCUGCUCUUUCUGAAUGUGGCAAGUUGUUUAAUGCCCCUCUCAGCUGCAUUACGAGAGCAGAGGAAUUAUAUGUGCAGAGUGGUUGUGAGACUCAAAUAAAAUACCCAAUUUUUC